AAUUGAAUCAGAGUAUAUGGAUAUAUUACUCGACGUUUUAUUUAAUUCUAGAACUUCCUCGGUUGCUUGUAUAAAUAGAUAGAUUGUAUUGUUUCAUUGUUUUGAUUCUCUCAGAAGCAUUUCUUCUUCUUCUUUCCUUUUGUGUUAAUCACCAUUAGAGAGGAUCAUUCCAAGCACAGUGAGCUGGAUUUAACACACAUUUUUCUUUCUUUCGCUCGUCAAUAACAUGGCACAAUCCAUACUCAUGCCUGGAAGAAGCUUCACAAUAUCCAGAAAUCAAGCAAGAAACAAAGAAACCAGAAGCAAAAAUCAAAAGAACCCAGAAAAAAAAAUCAAAAGAACCCCCAUAAACUCCACCAUUUCUUCUACCCAUGAAAGGCCAACAACACCCAUCGCUAAAAAGAAGAAGAAUUUCACACCAUUUAGGUGUGUGGGUUGCAGGGAAACUUCACAACUCUCUGUCUCUGCACCAAUUGCUGAUUACCAAUCCAAGAAGAAGAAGAAGAAGCUGAGAACCAAAACCCUUAAUUUUUUUGAUGGUGAUUUUGAUGAUUUUGUUGUUUCAAGAAAACCCCAUUCUUCUAAAGGGAGAGUUGAUGUUGACAAGAUUACGCCCAAGGAGCAGUCUAUGCAAAGAAUGGUGACAGGCUCAGAAGACUAUCCUGUUCUUGAUACUGCAACUCUGGAAAGGCCACGCUCGCGAGCAGAUUGGUUUGGAUUUGGGCAUCAUUCUCAUUUUGAUUUUUCUGAAGAGCUUUCUGAGUUUGUGAUGCUUCAGAAUAGUUUUAUGGGAGGAAGAACAGAUUGUCCUGAUCGAUACCGAAGCUUGAGGCUUAAUGUGGAUAACAUGUCAUAUGAGGAAUUGGUGGAACUCGGUGAUAGAAUUGGAUAUGUGAGUACAGGAUUGAAAGAAAACGAGAUAACUCAAUGUGUUAGGAGAACUAAGCCCUUCUCUUUGAAUAUUUUCUCUCAUUUACACACAGAAGUGGAGAAAAAGUGUAGCAUUUGUCAGGAAGAAUAUGAGGCUGAUGAUGAAAUGGGCAAGCUCGGUUGUGGACACUUUCAUCAUAUCGACUGCAUAAAACAGUGGCUUAUGCACAGAAAUAACUGUCCCGUCUGUAAAUCUGUUGCCAUGUCAACCUGUUGAUUUUCGUAUUCCUUUUGUAAAUAGCCUUUGUGCAUCCUGAAACUGAUGGCUCUUUUGUUUGGACAGCAGUUCAAUAUGAGACUGGUUGAAACAAGGUUUAGACUAAACAGUUAUGCUCGUUUUAUUGGAUCACUGUCAGGCAAGUGAAGAAGACUGGCUAGACGGCCCGUGAAGAGUUUCACCGAUCGCGAAGCUUCAUACGGUCCGUGAAACCUCCCAUUUAAGGCACUUUAUUAGAUUUAAAGGUUAAGGUCAUUUUGGUCUUUCCCCUAUGCAUUUGAUAUUUAGACUACGUUGUUUUAACCCCUAUUCUAAGCCUAAACCAUGAUAUUUACACCUAAUUUAGGGCUUAGAGAGUGUUAAUCGAUUCUUUUACAUUCAUUAUUAUUCAAGACAAUUGAAUUCAUAUUUCUAAUCAUUGAAUUAUCAUA